AAAACUUACCUUAUCUAUAGAUGCGAUAAUUGCUGUUUCCAGCUCUGAGUCUGACACAUGCAUUUUUCUCCUAAGCUGGUGUUGAAUACAGAAUCUUCUGACUGACAUUUCUGAACAUCUUGAGACACCUAACAGCUGCAGCGAGGUGGAAAUCUCGGCAUGUGUUUUCCCCAACCCAGUCUCACUGCAGUUUGUGACAUAGUCACGAAAUUUAAUCUAUUGGUUCGUGUUCGUGGACACAAAUUUCCUUUUUUUUUCGUGUCAAUCAGCACGACUUUCGAUCUCAUGUAUUUCAAUAGGAGGCAUCUUUCGUGUCUGCACCACGUUUUUCUUUCUGCCACUCGGAAGCAUUGUUUUUUUUCUCAUUUGUUAUUCAUUUUUAAACUUUAAGCACUACAUUACUCAACAUUUAACCAGGACAUUUGAUCCUUGUUUUUAUUGCUUUAUUCUGUAGGGUACUAACCAUUGUGCUUCGGUUUCUUUUCUGAGAAAUGCCGUUUUUCCAUCUAUUUGGUGUGUCAAAUCGGACAGUAAACUAAAUAUUACAGUACCCAUGAGCCUUAUCUACUUUUACUAUGUUAAAGUAGAUAAAACUACCUGAUGACCCACCGCCGAAAGCUUUUAAUGAUAUCCUCAUCUUUCUUUCAACACAUAAACACGAAAGUGUGCUUGAGAAUUCAACAAUACGAUGUUCAUGACCAUCAGUUUUAUUUGAUUCUCCUUCUAUUGUGAGAACGGGGGGUUAGUUGUGGUUAUUAAUUAAAUUAAAAUAAAAUAAAAAAUAACUUAAAUUAAUUAGUGGACGCCCGCAUUACCGUGAACCUCAGCAUCCGUUGCUAUGGAGAUGGAGCCAAUCCGCUUCGCGAUUGGGUGAUUUCUGCAGGCCGCGAAUUCUCCGUCAUUGCGCUCAAACCACUUCUCAGGUAAGCCACGAGACUUGAAUGUAAUGAUCAAAUUUGUUUAAAUGUUAUAAUUGAUCCUUUUCUUUGCCAUUAGACUCACAUGGUUUACAUGUUAGAGCAACGAAUUAAAGGCCGACCAAUGGUUUCCAUAUUAACAGUAAAAAAAAGAAGAAAAAAGACGCGCCUUUUGUGCAGUCAUACAGAAAAUGGGAAAAACGUGAAUUUUAUUUAUUUAUUAAAGAAAAUUGGUAUCUCUCACUAUCGGGGUACACAUUUUAAACCUUUCUCAACAUAUCUAGCCUUCACUACAUAAUGAACAUUUUCUGUUCUCCUGCAGAUCCUGUCAAACUUCACCUUCACCCUAUAGAUAGGCUACACCUGAUUCCCAAAACCCAAAGGCACUUUUAAGAGCCAACCUCUAUCUUUCUCUUCAUCAUUUUCUAUCUCUAUCUCGCACAACCUCUCUGUCCAUCUAUAUUUCUAUCCAUCUCUUCAAUCUCCAUACUGUUAUCUAUCUCAAUUUCUCAGUUUUUCCUCUCUUUUUCUGUCUUUGUCUACUUGUCUGUCUUAUCUGUCUCUGUCUGUCUGUCUGUCAGUGUUGCAAUGGCCACCAGACAUAUCCUUGACUCACAGGACCCCCAUUACCAAGAGGGGAGACGCAUGGCUCUUGAACUGAAACAUGACCACGUUCUAGCUGAAGCCAGGAGAGCAGCUGUGGAGAGGAAACUGUCAGGCUCUGGAGGAGACCCUCCACGGACCUCUAAAAGGGUCUCUGUAGGUCGUGGCAAGCCGAGGGGAAGGCGAGGAGGGCGACGCCAAGCCUCAGCUACAGGUUAUAUUCACACACCCCCGGUUGAGUGUUCCCUGUCAUCCAGCGUGGAGGUUCCCUCAGAAAUACUAAAUCCUUAAGAGGAAUUUGAGAAAAAUAUGGAGAGGCUCUCAAACAUUUUGGCAUCAUGUCCUUCUGCUGAGCCUCAAAGAAGCUCUGCUUCAUCAUGGUCUUUUCGGCAGCAGAAAGCCUCAGAGCGCUGGAAAGAGGCAAGACCAUACCACCUACGAUGCCUUAUCGCAAAGGAGGCUGUUGGUCAUCC